AGCCGGUAUCCGCUGCUGUUUUCUAAGACGAGGAAAUGCCAACGCCUCCUAGAGAGAGGUAUCCUCACCUUCACAAGUGCUUUUGCAAAAGCUGCCAGCUCCUCCAUCAGUCAGGCGCUAGCAGGAGGCCAAGUUUAGAGCCACAGCGCAUUCUCUCUCUCUUUCUCUCGCUCUCUCUCUCUCUCUCACACACACACACACACACACACUUAUGCAUACCCACCACACAUCCCAGGCUGGGCGCCCUCCCAGCACUCGCCUACUCACAUCAGCGCCAGGUGUGCCAGGCUUGCCUGGAGCUCCUGGCUUUCCCGGUUCACCUGCAGGACCCUGAGCAGGGGGAGAGGGGUGCGGGGGCAGGAGAGAAAAAAGGUGCAAAGUUGAGACCCUUCAGACACAGGAAGCUGCAAAACACGUCUAAAGGAAGGAAGUGGAGCGCCAUUUGCUCCAAUCAACUUACCGGGGGACCCGGGGGACCCUUAGGACCUCGGUCACCCUGGAAGGAGAUUUCCAUGUCACCCCGCCUGCCAAAUGGAUUCUAGAGCUCCUAAAUCUAGAGUGAAAUUACGUGUUUUUUGUUCACUGUUUUGGAAUCAUCCAGAGUUGAGAUCACUGGACAGAAGAUCAAAAUUGGAGAGACAAUGAAGAAUGAAGUCUUUCCUUCCUAUCAACAGAGGAAGGGAAAGAUUAACAAAAGGAAGUUUUGGCUAACCAGAAAACCUAUACCUUUUGUUUAGAUAGUUCAUUAAAGCAAAUGUGAAGUAAUUCAUUAAACUGUUUUCUCAAAUA